AACGAACGCUGGCGGCAUGCCUAACACAUGCAAGUCGAACGAGACCUUCGGGUCUAGUGGCGCACGGGUGCGUAACGCGUGGGAACCUGCCCUUAGGUUCGGAAUAACUCCCCGAAAGGGGUGCUAAUACCGGAUAAUGUCUUCGGACCAAAGAUUUAUCGCUUUUGGAUGGGCCCGCGUUGGAUUAGCUAGUUGGUAGGGUAAAAGCCUACCAAGGCGACGAUCCAUAGCUGGUCUGAGAGGAUGAUCAGCCACACUGGGACUGAGACACGGCCCAGACUCCGACGGGGGGCAGCAGUGGGGAAUAUUGGACAAUGGGCGUAAGCCUGAUCCAGCGAUGCCGCGUGAGUGAUGAAGGCCUAAGGGUUGUAAAGCUCUUUUACCCGGGAUGAUAGUGACAGUACCGGGAGAAUAAGCUCCGGCUAACUCCG
rnacentral:rRNA from 1 species